rnacentral:rRNA from 1 species
UACAGAGGGGGCAAGCGUUGUUCGGAAUUACUGGGCGUAAAGGGCGCGUAGGCGGCCAACUAAGUCAGACGUGAAAUCCCUCGGCUCAACCGGGGAACUGCGUCCGAUACUGGUGGGCUCGAAUCCGGGAGAGGGAUGUGGAAUUCCAGGUGUAGCGGUGAAAUGCGUAGAUAUCUGGAGGAACACCGGUGGCGAAGGCGGCAUCCUGGACCGGUAUUGACGCUGAUGCGCGAAAGCCAGGGGAGCAAACGGG